rnacentral:rRNA from 1 species
AGUGAACGCUGGCGGUAGGCCUAACACAUGCAAGUCGAGCGGCAGCACAGUAAGAGCUUGCUCUUACGGGUGGCGAGUGGCGGACGGGUGAUGAAUACAUCGGAAUCUACUUUUUCGUGGGGGAUAACGUAGGGAAACUUACGCUAAUACCGCAUACGACCUACGGGUGAAAGCAGGGGAUCUUCGGACCUUGCGCGAUUGAAUGAGCCGAUGUCGGAUUAGCUAGUUGGCGGGGUAAAGGCCCACCAAGGCGACGAUCCGUAGCUGGUCUGAGAGGAUGAUCAGCCACACUGGAACUGAGACACGGUCCAGACUCCUACGGGAGGCAGCAGUGGGGAAUAUUGGACAAUGGGCGCAAGCCUGAUCCAGCCAUACCGCGUGGGUGAAGAAGGCCUUCGGGUUGUAAAGCCCUUUUGUUGGGAAAGAAAAGCAGCAGGUUAAUACCCCGCUGUUCUGACGGUACCCAAAGAAUAAGCACCGGCUAACUUCGUG